CUACUAUUCCCUCCAUCCGAAAAUACUUGUCAUUGAAAUGGAUGUAUCUAGAUGUAUUUUAGUUCUAGACACAUCCAUUUUGAUGACAAGUAAUUCCGAAUGGAGGGAGUAUUAU
rnacentral:pre_miRNA from 1 species